rnacentral:ncRNA from 12 species
CCUUCGAUAGCUCAGUUGGUAGAGCGGUGGACUGUAGUUAAAACUUUAAGUAAGUAAAAUAGAUAUCCAUAGGUCGCUGGUUCAAAUCCGGCUCGAAGGA